rnacentral:sRNA from 2 species
ACUUCUUCAGCUUGGGCAAGUGUGUGCCUGUGUGCCGAGGAGAUGGCGUCUACCAGAAGGGGAUGGACUUCAUUUUGGAGAAGCUCAACCAUGGGGACUGGGUGCAUAUCUUCCCAGAAGGGAAAGUGAACAUGAGUUCCGAAUUCCUGCGUUUCAAGUGGGGAAUCGGGCGCCUGAUUGCUGAGUGUCAUCUCAACCCCAUCAUCCUGCCCCUGUGGCAUGUCGGUGAGCCUGGGGACGGGGACAGAGAGAUGGCAUCUGGGGUGGGGGGC